rnacentral:lncRNA from 1 species
GUCCCAUCUCCCUCCCAGGCAGUCUCUCUCACAUACACAGAGAGGCGCUCACACAUUCCGCAUCAAGACACACAGACAACCAUGCUGCUUUGCCGUCACGCACCCGCGGGCCUGAGACUCCGGCAACAGGCCAACUACGUUAGGGACUUGCACGCUUUAAGGGCUUCCUCUGCCACUCCGGCCGAUUGAGGCCGGACUCCAAUUUAAUCCGGUUUCCCAGGCUCCUGACCGAGAGCACUCUUGGCCUAUAAAUAUCCUGGGAUGAAUUCACCUCACCUUGAGAAGCACAAAAACCAAGCAAAAAUGAAAGCGAAGCCAUAGAUUGAGCGUGCCCAUUGCCCGCUGGGAAAUGUAGUUCAAGUCCGCUUAACGCUGGCCGCGGUGGCUUGUGGGAAAAGUAGGCCCGCGCCCGAAAUUCUCCCGGGAUUCGACGCCCGUUGUAAGGACCACAGUGCGCCGGAUCCCUGAGAUUUUUGUUCUCUCUAUGCUAGCAAUACGCAGAUGCAAAGACGUGUUGCUCUGGCCCAGACGUUUGAGAAAAGCACGUGUCCGAUGUGUCCUAGGAGGUCCAGAAAAUGCCGGGGGACCCAGUUUCCCAAAGCUUCUGGCCUGAUUGCGAAGAGCAGGCUCUGGAAGGGUCACUAGUAUGAUCACGAAGGCGAGCGCCCUAGGAUUACAGGUCUGAGCUACCAAGAGACUAAG